UGAGUAUAUAAACUAUAAAUACAUAAUAAUUUUUCUAUUACUGCCUAGAAGCAUUAUUUCUAGCUAUAUUAUAUCAAUCAGCCAAUAACAUGAAUAUGAAUACUGAUGGCAACACUACCUAAUGUUUAUGGUAUUACCAGGAGAAGGGACUAGAGGAUUUGUGAUUUAUCUGUUGCCUUGAUUUAGUGACUCAACUUUCUGUACAUUGAAAGUUGCCUUUAAUAAAAAAAAAAGUAUUUGACUUCUUAUUAUGAAGUCACAGUGGAUGUGAUGUAUGAGAUACAGAUCUUUUAACAGUAGAAUCUUUGUUCAUUUAUGUACUCACUUGGUCACUCACUGAUGACAACUAAUUGUCCUCAGAGCUGUGGCUUGGCAUUGGAAGAACCAUGAUGAACAGACAGAGACUGCCCUCAUAAAACUUACAGGCUCAUGUCAGAACAGACAUUAAGCUAAAUAUUCAGACAAAUAAGUGCAAAAUUGCAACUGCUUUCUGGAGGCUGGAAAGUCUAUGAUCAAGGCACAAGCAGAUUUGGCGUCUGAUGAGGGCUGAUUUCCUGGUUUAUCGAUCAUGCCAUCUCAUUGUGUGGUCACAUGGUGGAAGAGGGAAGGCGGAUGUCCGGGGUCUAUUUUAUUGCCUCCUCCUCUGAUUUACUUGAGCCAGUGUUUGAGUAAACUUCUUGCCUGGAAAAAUUACAGUCACCAAACUAAUUCAGUUACUGUUCAGAAUAAAUACACAGAAUGGCAAAUGGACCUCCCUGGAGUGGCUGGGGCAUUCAAAGUCUCUAUCCUGGUCUGCUGGAGACCUUGGCAUUUUACUUCCCGGACAUAACUUUAUUCUGCUGGAGCAAUGCUCACAUUGCUCUGGAAACACUGGAAAAUCUCAAGAUGCAGGUCAGUCUGCUCCAUGGAUGAGUAUGAGGCCCCAAGCCAUCUCUCAAACUAAAGAUUCCCCAGCCAGAUAAUGCUGAAGAGUCUUCAACAAGGCAAUAUGAUUACUCUGUGUGCUUAGAAGAAGAGGGAUUAUAAAUGUCAGCUGUUGCUCUUUGACUCCUGCUGAUUGAUUCAUUGAUUCAUCUUUCCAACAGGCGUGUGCUGCAAGUUGAUUAUACUGAAUGACACUGCGGAG
rnacentral:lncRNA from 13 species